GGAGAGACUGUGGCUCAGUGGCAGAAAUCAUCGGCUUGACAUGCAGAAGGGCCCAGGUUCUCUCCCUGGCAUCUCCA
rnacentral:tRNA from 1 species